rnacentral:rRNA from 1 species
AACGAACGCUGGCGGCAUGCCUAACACAUGCAAGUCGAACGAGCCCUUCGGGUCUAGUGGCGCACGGGUGCGUAACGCGUGGGAACCUGCCCUUAGGUUCGGAAUAACUCCCCGAAAGGGGUGCUAAUACCGGAUAAUGUCUUCGGACCAAAGAUUUAUCGCCUUUGGAUGGGCCCGCGUUGGAUUAGCUAGUUGGUAGGGUAAAAGCCUACCAAGGCGACGAUCCAUAGCUGAUCUGAGAGGAUGAUCAGCCACACUGGGACUGAGACACGGCCCAGACCCCUACGGGAGGCAGCAGUGGGGAAUAUUGGACAAUGGGCGAAGGCCUGAGCCAGCAAUGCCGCGUGAGUGAUGAAGGCCUUAGGGUUGUAAAGCUCUUUUACCCGGGAUGAUAAUGACAGUACCGGGAGAAUAAGCACCGGCUAACUCCGUG